rnacentral:rRNA from 1 species
AUGUCCAUUUGGCGCUACUACCCAGAGGAUUUUCUGGUGCUUUGCCAUGACGAUGCUCUCCGGGAUCGGAUGGUGCGUGCGGGCAAGGCGGAUUCCUCCUGGUUUGAGCUCUCCUUGCGGCCCUGGAUUCGUCAGUCGCAGGCCACGGCGGCAUCCUUGCCCUUCCUCGUCCCGAUCUCUCUGAGGAGGGUGCCGGCCCACACCUGGAACCAGAGGACGGCGAGCGCGGUCUUACGCGGCCUGGGCUACGUGGUGGGGGUGAACGAGGACACCGCGAGCCAAGCGGACAUGGCGGACUUCCGUGUGUGGCUUCGCACAGACCGGCCGCAUCGGAUUCCAAGACAGCGGAUGAACCCCGGCGAACUCUUUGGGCUGAAGAGGAUGGACGGCAUUUGA